GGGCCGCGUAUUCCCCCGGCCAUGGCGGCGGGGGCGGGCCCGGAAGGGAGCAGCCUCCGCCUCCCUCACUUCCCCGGCUGUCGGGCGGGGCGGCAGCGCCGGCAGUGGGCACCAUGCUGCAGUUCUUGCUUGGUUUUACUCUUGGCAACGUGGUUGGGAUGUAUUUGGCUCAGAACUAUGAUAUUCCUAACAUUGCAAAGAAGCUGGAAGAUUUUAAGAAGGAUGUGGAAGCCAAGAAGAAACCUCCUAACGACAAGUCCUGAAAGAGAAAUGUUCCCCAGGUCAACUCUGUGUGUGCACCAAGGAUGCAAUUUACCUUUCAGGCAGCAAAGGUCAAGUAGAGGGUUGGCAUGGGAGGUUGCUCCACUCUUAGUCUCCUAGAACUGGAAUAUCCUUUUGAAAGGGCGGCCGUGAACUUUUCCUGGGACUGAUUUUCAAGGGUUUCAGAAUUUGGAUUUGCAACUCAUGUGUGACUGGAUGAUAUCAUUUGUAUUUUUGAGUAUUUCUUUUCCUAAUAUUUUGUAACCUGUUUUUACCUGAUUCAAGUGGAGUGCUUUUGGUCCUGUUACAAUUGUAACCUCACACUUGAUAAUAUCCUAGCUCUUAGAACAGCACAAAAGAAAUUAAAUGCAUCAAGAAGUAACUUUCAGAGUUUCUUGUCAUUUGUUGUGAGCAAUGGUUCUUCACUGUCCUUAAGCCGCACACACAAGCAAAGAAGAAAAGCAGCCAUUAAAAUCCCUGGUGUGUGAGAAAACACACAUCCAAUUGUAGAACUCUUUUCUUUUGCUUGAAACCAUAAUUCUGCGAAAAUUCUGUUGUAAAUUCUGAAAAAAAAGUUGCAAUGAUUUGAACAGAUGUCAAUUUUAUUCAUUCAAGAAUCUUAUUAAUUUUUUUUCCCCUUAAAAUGGAAGAGGUCUAUUAACUCUGUAACAUGGCUUAAAUGACAGAGUCCCCUUGACAGUUUUUUGCAGGACAUGAAGAAUACAGAAAAGUGCCAGGAAAAUGUUUUUGCUCUUAUUGAGAAUGCCUGGUGAUGAAGUGCUACAGCAAGCACAGAGAAUGACCUCCACUUGUUCAGGCUCUAGAUUAAAGCAUACCUAGAGUGCUUCUCCAGUAAUGUUUUAAUUAGGAUGGGGAUUGUGCCUUCAAAGUGGUUUGUCCUUUUAGUAUGUUUUCUUUCUCAUCACAGGAAACCCACAUGGAGCACGUGGUCUGUAUUCCCCUCAGAAGAGACUAAAUCAGAAGAUGUGCUUCAAUCUCUAAUGGGUGUUUAGUCCAUUACACAGGUCUAGGGGCACUCAGAAGGAAAAGAACCCAAGCUCUGGGCACUAAUUGUCUUGCUUUGCCAGAGAAAUGUGCUGUUUGAUAUAAACAUAACAUCAAAGCUUUAAAGUACAGAACUCUAUGUACCCAUUGUGAUUUUCACUCUCCAGCCCAAAUCGUUUAAUUUUUGAUGUAUCUGAGUGACUCUCAAGUUCAGGAGUUCUCACUGGAUCAGUAAAGACACAUUUACAGAGUACCGUACACCAAACAUUUGCAUCCUUUGCCAAAGUUUGGUGGUGAUAUUGUCCUUCACAAUGCAUUCCUGAAACAGAGGAAAGUAUUCCUCAUGCAAAGAUUCUCCUUCUUAAGCAAUAUAAAUGUAUAUAAGGAAUAUUUCACCUGGGAUUUUAAAUCCUUCCUUUCACCUCAGCCCUGAAAUGUGUAGCUGACAUAAAAGCUUUCAGUCUUUGCAGAAGAUUAUUUGAGAAGUUUAAAAGCCAACUCAAAUCAGACAAUCUUCGUAGUAUGCAACCAAUUUUCUCCACAGGAAACACUCCAAGAAACUCUGACAGGGAGAAAUGGUUGUACCACCUGAACCCAACUACCAGAAGCUCUGUGGUAGCAGCAUGUGUGGAAGAUACCCAGAGAUUUCCAUUACCUUCACUUCAGACCUGACUAAAAGAAUUUUCUUCCAUGGCCAGAAAUGUUUCCCUAGACAGAUAGUGCUGCACAGCUGUUUUGAUGUUUUCAUAAACAUGAUGAACUUAAGUUUCCCCCAGCUUCCUCUCCCUCCCCUCCCUUUCCUAUUCUUGAGCAUUGAAAAAUACUGUCUCUAACCCAUUCAUUUUUCUUUGCUUGUCAUGUAAAAUUAUAUUAGUGUUUAAAAUUGGAUUAUUUCUUUGCUGAAACAUACUUUAUGUUCCUCCCUUUCUUUACAUGGACAUGAGAAGUGAAGUAACGUUCAAAAUCUCUGUAUUUGUUGCCAAACAGGCCAGUUACUCUAAAAGUGUUUUUGGAGCUGACACUUCAGCUAAGCAUUCCAAGCAGAUGUUAAAUUUUUUUUUUUUUAUUAGUAAGUGAAAAGCUGCAGCUGUAAUGCUGUGGAAACAAUAUAUGCUCAUUAAUAUUAAAGACAAUAAUAUUAAAGUGUUUGGUGGCAACACUUUCCAUUUUAACUGGAAAUAGAAAAAAAUGGAAUUUAGCUGGAAAUGGAAAAAAACCCUAGCUGGGUUUUUUCCUCCCACAUAGAAAACUGUAAAUCUGGAUAACAUAACACAGCUGAUGUGAAUUUUACAAAUUCUGUAUAAGACAUUUUACCUAGCCUGAGGUUGUCCUAGGUGAUCCUAAAAUUUGACCUCACCUUUCAGAGGGUGAGCACAGAUAAUGAGUGCUUGAUGCAGGUCUUGCAUCUGGUGGCUCAGAAUGCCUUGGAUGCACUGGUGUUGUAGCAGGGCACACAAGAUGGAUGCUCCAUGAAAUUACCUAGGAGCAAGUUUCCCACUUAACAUGGGAAUGUCUAUGAAUGGACAUUCAUUCUAACUAUAAAUGUCCGUUUCAAAUGCCUAUGUGGAUAGCUAAAAUUGCCAGCUAAAAUAUGCAGGCUUCCUUCCUUUCCUGAAAACAGUUGUGUUCAUGUAUUGAUUCUUUUGAGACAUAUUCUGCCUUGAACCUUCACCUUGAACUGAAGGUUCAAGGCAGAAUGGGAGGAAAGGAAUUUAUGAGCCACUGACAGACUUCUGAAACGUUUACUGUGGGUUGAGAGUAUUAUCCUGUGUUGGAAAACGCUGUCCUAAGGCUCUUCUGCCAUUAAACAGUCAAGGGUUAAUAAAAAGAAAAAAAAAAAAAUAAACA
ensembl:lncRNA short transmembrane mitochondrial protein 1